UGUUUUUCUAUACUGUUUAAGUUCCUUAUGUCCCAGAAAGUAUCAAAAUUGCUAUCAAAAUUACACUUAUGCAUCUGUUUGUGAAUGUGCUUUUCUUGGGAUCAACGAGUGUGUGAUGAGCAGUUGAGCACUGUGAAAUGAAAUCCUGCUUCCAUCCAAAUUGAGAAAUGAGAGUCAGGGUGUGUUUGGAAUUUUCGUUUCCCUUGUUAAUUGUUUUGUGAAUCUCCUUGUAUCAGCUGUAAAUAUUUGGUUUUAUUUCACCCUAAGGAUGUUUACAUUUGUUUCUUUACUAGCUAAUUUCCCUUUCAUUCCGCAUAGACUAAUGCGUAUUGCCACAUUUCCAUCUUAUUUAUUUCAGGCGAAGGUCACCAGAAGGCUGAAGCUAAUGCACAUCACUGAUAGAGAGCAGUAUGCUGCAUUUGCUUAGGACCAUUUUCGACUUGUAACUGUUCAAUUUUGUGUUUGAGAGUUAUUAGAUAUUUGUAUGGUUCAUUUUGGUGUCAUAGUGGUCCAAUUUUGAGGACUGCAUUGGACAAACAGGGGAAAAGUUGGCCAUACAUCUGCUAGCACAAUAUACUUGUGAAGCUCAAUCAAGUAUAUCAAUGAAGAACGAGAAGUAUAUACAAGUAUACAGCAAUGACAGCGAAUCAAGUAAUUGUUAAAGGAGUACAUAGAUCAAUUAAAGUAUUAAACCGAUAAACCGCCCAGUAACCGCCCGAUAAGAGCUAACCCGAUACCAAUCUGCCCGAUAUCUUAUCGGGUGGCUAAAGGAUUAAUACAUUUAAAAGCCGAAAACCGUUAAGCCAAACCGUUAGAGUAAAAAGCCGCCCAAUCCGCCCAAUGAACA
rnacentral:lncRNA from 1 species